UGAGGAAUAUUGGUCAAUGGCCGGAAGGCUGAACCAGCCAAGCCGCGUGAAGGACGAAGGUGCCAAGCAUUGUAAACUUCUUUUGUCAAGGGACAAAAUCAGGCUCUCGAGCCUGACCGAGGGUACUUGAAGAAAAAGCAUCGGCUAACUCCGUGCCAGCAGCCGGGUAAUAGUCGUCU
rnacentral:rRNA from 1 species